rnacentral:rRNA from 1 species
AUUGAACGCUGGCGGCAGGCCUAACACAUGCAAGUCGAGCGAGUGGCGGACGGGUGAGUAAUGUCUGGGAAUCUGCCCGAUAGAGGGGGAUAACUACUGGAAACGGUGGCUAAUACCGCAUACUAUCGGAUGUACCCAGAUGGGAUUAGCUAGUAGGUGGGGUAAAGGCUCACCUAGGCGACGAUCCCUAGCUGGUCUGAGAGGAUGAUCAGCCACACUGGAACUGAGACACGGUCCAGACUCCUACGGGAGGCAGCAGUGGGGAAGAUUGCACAAUGGGCGCAAGCCUGAUGCAGCCAUGCCGCGUGUAUGAAGAAGGCCUUAGGGUUGUAAAGUACUUUCAGCGGGGAGGCGUUACCCGCAGAAGAAGCACCGGCUAACUCCGUGCCAGCCGCCGCGGUAAUUC